UGAUUCCGGACGGCUGUUCCUUGGCAAUGAACGAUGAGUCGGUCUUGCAUACAACCUCACUCCUUCAAGGGAAGUGUGAGGCUCUGAUAUGUUUGGCUAUCGGGCUCAGCCUUGUAACUCAAUGCCCGGUGAUUCGGGACGCGUGUUCCUUGGCAUUGAGCGAUGAGUCGGUUUUUCAUACAACCUCACUCCUUCAAGGGAAGUGUGAGGCUCUGAUUUGUUUGACUAUGUGGGACAGCCUUGUAACAACAUGCCCGGUGACUCUGGACGUGUGUUCUUUGGCAUUGAACGAUGAGUCGGUCUUGCAUACAACCUCACUCCUUCAAGGGAAGUGUGAGGCUCUGAUAUGUUUGACUAUAAGGACACAAGUGUUGCUUGGCAUUGGGGGGUACAAUUUUCGUGUGACCUCACUCCUCCAAGGGAAGUGCGAGGCUCUGCUAUGUUUGACUAUGUGCGGCCGCCAUGUGACUCUAUGCCCGGUGAUUCGGGACGUAUGCUUCUUGGCAUUGAACGAUGAGCUGGUCUUGCAUACCACCUUACUCUCUCAAGGGAAUUGUGAGACUCUGAUAUGUUUGACUAUGUGGGACGAUGCAUCGAGCGCAUUUAGGGCCCAGACUAAUGAAGAGGAGAAACAGUGGAUUGAGGUGCUACGUCGGACUAUAGUAGCCAGUGAUAGCCGACUGUCAGAAGAGGAUCCAGUAGCCCAGAGCUGCCGUCAGCGACACAUAACCAAACACUUGAAACAGACACGACACAGCCAGAGGCAAAGAAGACCAGACAACGUCCAUCAUCGUACUUCCCCAUGAUGGCUUCAUUUGUACUAUUGUGUAGCGUGAUAGUGGUUCUUCAGACUGGAGCAGACCCUGUUGUUCUUGCUGUAGCUACUGGAGCUGUUCCGGCUGGUGUAUUUCUUCAUCGUCCAGCAAACACACACAUGAACAUCAACACAAACUGAAACAGUCUCAUGUAUUCUGCAAGUCUACUGUCAAAUCUACUGUCAAGUAGUAGCAGCCAGCAGACAGCAGGUGAUCAGCUGAUUUAGCUGCUGCCUCUCACCGGCCAAGUGAAAGCUGGAAGGCCAGAAUGGCUGCUGGGAUGGUUGCCGGUAUGCCGUUGAGAGCUGACUCAAAAGUUGCUGGGAACGGUGGAUGAUGCUGAAAUACAUGGUUGGUAAUCAAAUUGCUUCCAUGGCUUCUUCUGCUAACUUUUAACAUGCCACUCCUGCUGCUGCUGCUUCUGCUAUUGCUGCUGCCAGGGUGGCACUGGCUGGUGCUGUCACCACUGUCACUGCCGCUGCUGUACAUACGCAUAUGCAGGCAUGUGAGGUUUGAUGUUUGGAUAUCUGUAGAGAGUGGUGUACACAUGCAGGCAUGUUAUAAUGUGUGUGUUGCUGCUGCCUGGCUUUGUGUGCAAGUCAGUCAGUGUAUCCACCGUUUGUUUGGACAUAGACCAUUGUCAUGCCAGGCACGUCUAGCUCAGCUUCUCAUGCUCUGUUUUCACCUGUCAAUCAAACACUAGUACCUGAUACAGUACAUGGUUCUUCAGCCACCGACAUUUCCAUUUCCUCGACUUGAUCACGAGUUAGAACUACCUGUGAAUUGAAUUCUGUGAAAUGGAUGAUUUUUCCUGACGAGCACUAUGAGCAUGCCACUGCAGUCAAUAAGUGCUCUUUGGACUUGGAAUUGUUGUGACUAGUGAUGACAACUCUGUAAUGCGGUUACUGUAUCAUUCAUCAUACCAAGAUAGGCUGCGGCAGUGCUCAUUGAGUAUAUUUUGACAAUCACUACCAGCACCAGCACUAACACUAGCAAUAAGUAGCAUUGCAGCACUGAUGGUCAUCGAGGCCAGCC